UACGAAGGGUGCUAGCGUUGCUCGGAUUGACUGGGCGUAAAGGGCGCGUAGGCGGUUUGCAUAGUCAGACGUGAAAUUCCUGGGCUUAACCUGGGGGCUGCGUUUGAUACAUGCAGGCUUGAGUUCGGAAGAGGGUCGUGGAAUUCCCAGUGUAGAGGUGAAAUUCGUAGAUAUUGGGAAGAACACUGGUGGCGAAGGCGGCGACCUGGUCCGAUACUGACGCUGAGGCGCGAAAGCGUGGGGAGCAAACAGG
rnacentral:rRNA from 1 species